GGGACUGUAGCUCAGCCUGGGAGAGCAUCAGACUGAAGAUCUGGGUGUCGCUGGUUCAAAUCCGGCCAGUCCCA
rnacentral:tRNA from 1 species